rnacentral:rRNA from 1 species
GCACGGAGUUAGCCGCAUCCUUAUUCUUCCGGUACAUUCAGCUAUCUACACGUAGAUAGGUUUAUUCCCGGAUAAAAGCAGUUUACAACCCAUAGGGCAGUCUUCCUGCACGCGGCAUGGCUGGUUCAGAGUUGCCUCCAUUGACCAAUAUUCCUUA